CUGCUGAGUAGCUGGGACUACAGAUGCCUGCCACCACACGCAGGGUCACGAUGGUGUGCUCCAAGACCACAUCUCGAACCUCACAGAUGGGACAGGAAGCGUCACUCCAUACCACCCGGCACAGCUAAGCAGUACCGUGAUGCAUCCCAUCACCAAGCACAGGUUGCCAACGUGAAGGAGAUAUGCGGAGGACAGCCCGAGGACACUCGUCAGGGAGGCCCCUCCACAUUUACCACCAAUGCCCAGGCCGACGAGGAUGAUGCCAGACAUCUUUAGAACAGAAAUCAGAAAGGAAGAAAAGUAAUCUGUUAGUUGUGCACAAAUAGAACUGGGGAGCUGACUGUGGAGGAAGGGCUGCAACAAACCAGGGGCCUGGAUUGUGACAUACUUACAGCCACGAAGCCAUUGAGUAAAGAUAACA